GGGGAUGACAGGCUUCGACGGGGAAGGCUGUUCCUGGACUGCAAGCCGAGCACGCUUUACAACUCGUAAAACUGGAAGCAAACAAUAAGUGCAAACCGCACAAACACAUACAACGCUCUUCCGUUGGCUGCCUAAACAGCCUUCGGGUAGCGGAGAGUCCAAGAGGACUCGCGUCUGCCGCAGCCGUUCGUUGACCGGGUGCGAAUCAGGCGACACUAAAGUCAACGUGCUGCGCCGCGACGCUCAUAGCGGUGAGUAAGCGUCCUUUCGGGGAUGAUGAGCUAGUCGGCGUCAGACCCUGUUAGCUGGGGAUGCGCUGGCGAAUCACAAAUAGGCCAACUAAGCUUGUAGACGUUCAGAGGACGAAUUUUUCGGACGCGGGUUCGAUUCCCGCCAUCUCCACUU
rnacentral:tmRNA from 1 species